GGGGAUUUAGCUCAGUGGUAGAGCGCUUGCCUAGCAAGCUAGGCCCUGGGUUCGGUCCCCAGCUCCG
rnacentral:tRNA from 1 species